GCCUUUUGUAGAAUGAACCGGCGAGUUACGAUUUGAUGCAAGGUUAAGCAGUAAAUGUGGAGCCGUAGCGAAAGCGAGUCUGAAUAGGGCGAAUGAGUAUCUGGUCGUAGACCCGAAACCAAGUGAUCUACCCAUGUCCAGGUUGAAGUUCAGGUAACACUGAAUGGAGGACCGAACCGACUUACGUUGAAAAGUGAGCGGAUGAGGUGUGGGUAGCGGAGAAAUUCCAAUCGAACUUGGAGAUAGCUGGUUCUCUCCGAAAUAGCUUUAGGGCUAGCCUCAAGUGAUGAUUAUUGGAGGUAGAGCACUGUUUGGACGAGGGGCCCCUCUCGGGUUACCGAAUUCAGACAAACUCCGAAUGCCAAAUAAUUUAACUUGGGAGUCAGACUAUGGGUGAUAAGGUCCGUAGUCGAAAGGGAAACAGCCCAGACCACCAGCUAAGGUCCCAAAAUAUAUGUUAAGUGGAAAAGGAUGUGGCGUUGCCCAGACAACUAGGAUGUUGGCUUAGAAGCAGCCAUCAUUUAAAG
rnacentral:rRNA from 1 species